rnacentral:lncRNA from 1 species
AAAAACUUGAGAAAAAGAAAGAUAUACGAGAGAGAAAAGAAUCUGUGGAGAGAGAGAGAUGAGAGCUUAGUUUUGCUUCAUUUUCAGCUCAGAUUUUCUCAUUGUGUAGAUUGUGUUGUAGCUCUGGUUUUGAUCAUUGAAUAAAGUUGAAUCUGUUAACCCUCCGUGGAUGUAAGCCUAAGGGCUGAACCACGUAUAUCUCGUCUUCUCUAUUUGUUUCUGCAUUGUGGUUUCAGCGUGUCAUUUUGGUUCCAGAUCUUGAAUCUUGUUGAGUUUUCUUGUUGCUUGAGCUAAGUUCCAACAAUAAGCUAUUAGUAAAAGAUAAGAAGUGGUAGCAAUGUCUAUCAACCUAUCACUACAAUUGUCAGUACAAUUGUGUGCAAUUGCACUAUCUAGAGCUGGAGGUGUGCUCGCAGCGAAGUGAGCGUCUUUGCGACGGCGUGGCAUACUGGUUGUAGUGGGAUUGCCGUGGUGAAACUGUCCAACAAACUUGUGUACAGUAUUUUAACCGACUUAAUUUUCGAUUCAAGAAAAAGAUGUGGCGGUUAACGAGUUAUGUGUUCUUUUUUUUUU